rnacentral:rRNA from 1 species
GAUGAACGCUGGCGGCGUGCCUAAUACAUGCAAGUCGAGCGAACGGACGAGAAGCUUGCUUCUCUGAUGUUAGCGGCGGACGGGUGAGUAACACGUGGAUAACCUACCUAUAAGACUGGGAUAACUUCGGGAAACCGGAGCUAAUACCGGAUAAUAUUUUGAACCGCAUGGUUCAAAAGUGAAAGACGGUCUUGCUGUCACUUAUAGAUGGAUCCGCGCUGCAUUAGCUAGUUGGUAAGGUAACGGCUUACCAAGGCAACGAUGCAUAGCCGACCUGAGAGGGUGAUCGGCCACACUGGAACUGAGACACGGUCCAGACUCCUACGGGAGGCAGCAGUAGGGAAUCUUCCGCAAUGGGCGAAAGCCUGACGGAGCAACGCCGCGUGAGUGAUGAAGGUCUUCAGAUCGUAAAACUCUGUUAUUAGGGAAGAACAUAUGUGUAAGUAACUGUGCACAUCUUGACGGUACCUAAUCAGAAAGCCACGGCUAACUACGU